rnacentral:tmRNA from 1 species
GGGGGUGUUUCAGAUUCGAUUGGGCGACUUCUUUUUAUUGUAAGCAUACCGAAGGCUCGGCUUCGUAAAAACGGAAACAACAAUAACUGCUAAUAACAAUAACGAAUUAGCUUACGCUGCUUAACUCAAGCGUACGUCGUACGUAAUCUUCUCCGUCGGGGUUACGCACGGCGCAAGCACAGACGGACAACGGUUGCGUUAUUCGAUUCGCGGUAACGUAACGGAACUAAAGCGGAUAUGAAAAUUGUAUAGGUUGCCGAUAACCGUACUCUUUUCGAGAACAAUAUUCGGAUAAGUAUGUAGAAGAAUAAACGGACCCGUUCAAGACCAGAGUGCAAGUCUCUGCAUCUCCACCA